rnacentral:rRNA from 1 species
UGGGGAAUCUUGCACAAUGGGGGCAACCCUGAUGCAGCGACGCCGCGUGAGCGAUGAAGCCCUUCGGGGCGUAAAGCUCUUUCGACCGGAACGAUAAUGACGGUACCGGGAGAAGAAGCUGCGGCUAACUACGUGUCAGCAGCCGCGGUAAUACGUAGGCAGCAAGCGUUGUUCGGAGUUACUGGGCGUAAAGAGUGCGUAGGCGGUUUUCUAAGUUCGGUGUGAAAUCUCCCGGCUUAACUGGGAGGGUGCGCCGAAGACUGGGAAGCUGGAGUGUGGGAAAGGCAGGCGGAAUUCCUGGUGUAGCGGUGAAAUGCGUAGAUAUCAGGAGGAACACCGGCGGUGUAGACGGCUUGCUAGACCAUAACUGACGCUGAGGCACGAAAGCGUGGGUAGCAAACA